ACUCAAAGUGAUUCCCUCUCCAAGGGGCCUGCCAGUGCUCCUCAGGAACAUAGCAACUUGGAAGAAGAUGUGCAUGCCUCGGGCCUUAGCGGGAGAGAUGUUUUCGUUUCUCUGCCUGCCUGCGGCUGCCUACAUGC